rnacentral:rRNA from 1 species
GACGAACCACACAAACGUCAUUCGGAAUUACUGGGCUUAAAGGGUGCGUAGGCUGCGCAGUAAGUUGGGUGUGAAAUACCUCGGCUCAACCGAGGAACUGCGCCCAAAACUACUGUGCUUGAGGAAGAUAGAGGUAAGCGGAACUUACGGUGGAGCGGUGAAAUGCGUUGAUAUCGUAAGGAACACCUGUGGCGAAAGCGGCUUACUGGGUCUUUUCUGACGCUGAUGCACGAAAGCUAGGGGAGCGAAUGGG